CUCUCUCUCUCUCUCUCUCUCUCCUUUCCUCUCUGUUCCUCCCCCAGUUGUGGUCUCUCUCUCAAAAAUAAAUAAAGUUUAAAAAACCACAACCAUUUAAAGCCUCUGAACAUUGUCCCAAGAGCAUACGGCGAAUGAAGAAACACUUCUUGGAGAAAAUUGAAAUCUCAGUGGGGCCAGUGAGACUCGAUGGCAUUUGAGCCUCUCUGCCUCCUGCAUCAACCUAAGCUCAGGGUGAUGGACGCUCUAUGCUCUGCGGAUGUGGUCGAGGACACAGGGCUCCCGCAGCUUUUCCUGAGGAGGCACAGGCUGAGCAAUUCUCAUCCCCACCAGCUCCAUGAUGCAGAAACUCUUUUCCAUAGCAACUGCAGCUCAGGGGUCUGGGUUCCCUUUCUCCACCCGGCGCCCACUCGUGGGGUAGACCCUCUAUUCCAGAAACAGCAGGCCAAGACUGCUAGGCCCCAAUAUUCCUCACUCUGGCCUGCUCAUAGCGUGGGGGUUCCACAGUGGGAGAUGCGAGUCAAAAAGACCAGGGCUUACCACCCCACCCAGCGACCCCUCAGAGCGCAGCAGUGUCCUUCCAGAAGAAGUGGGCCAGUGUCCCUAGCCCCAGCUCUGGAGGCUUGAUGCAGAGUUUCCGUCCACGGGGGGAGGGAAGUCACAGAGCUGCAUAGCUCUGCUUUGACCUAAGGACCCUCCAGCCUGGCUGAGAUUUGCUUGGAAUUGUGCGGUAGCCCAAGACCUACUUUACUUCCUGCCUCUUCCCUCCCUUUUUCUUCCUCUUUUCCUUCUUCCUUCCCUCUCUCCUUACAGGGGUCGGAUCCACACCGCGACCUGAUGGCCUCCCAGCCUCCUCCAUCUUUUGCCCCAUUUUCUCCGCUACGUCUCCUGCAUGACUGACCCGCCUUGGCAUCUACUUCUUGGAGGACCUGAAAUAAUGCUUCUUUCUUAGUGUGCCCUCGCACUUUGGGCGACCAUACCUGCUGGAGAACAAGGGGAUUCUCUGCUGCUCUGCUUCGCUACAGCAAAUCCCACCCCCUUCCACCUCCUCCUCCCCCGGCUGGGUAUGAGGAUCAGAUGGUCACCAGGAGCAGGACUUCACCUUCAGUCUCGAGGCCUCAGCUGUUAUCUGAGCCUGGAAUGGGCUCAAGACGCAUCAAUUUCUUAAGCCUCAUCAUGGAGCCACAAAUGAAGAAAGAAAUCUGACCCCAACAUCUCAUUUUACAGAAGAAAGUUUUGAAAUGUAGGUAGAAGCAUAGAGAUACACUUGUGAGGAACAGAGUACGGACGGUGGUGAGCAAAAGAGAGAGGAAAAGCAGAACACUGUAGUGACGGUGGGUGGCCCGGAUGACAGUGGUUAGAUUCUCUGAAUUUCAUUUAGUUAUCAAAUCAGGUACUGGGUGGUACCUCUUGGCCUCUUGAUUACAGAGUUGGAAGCAUAUGGCAUUGUUGAUGACUCUAUGAGGAGAUGUAAUAAAUCGCUGCUUGGUAGGAAUA